UCAAGUGGGGGAAGUCAAGGUAGCAGAAGCUUGGCAGAGCUGGUCACCUCCCAUCCGCAAUCAGGAAGAAGAGAGCACUAAGAGCUUGGCUCCAUCUCCUCUUUCUUCAGUCUGUGCUCCCAACCCAUGGGACGGUGCCACACACACACUUGGCAGGGCAGGUCUAGAUAUUCCCUCACAGGUUUGUCUCAUCUCCUAAGCGAGGAUCCACCCAACUCACGUUUUGAGAUAGAAUCCCUUGCUGGCCUUGAGCUCACAGAUCCACCGAGGCGGAGUGGCCAGUGGGGCCCAAGACUCUGCCUAUCUUCCUACCCAGCGCCGUCCUUGAAGUCCUGUUGUCACUUGACUGUGGAUCAAUCUUGUACCUCAAGCCCCUAACAAUGUGUGAGCAAUUAGAGCAUAAGGCUUCCUCACAGGAAGUCUCUCCCUGACUGAGUAUCUACCCAGUUCAACUCACUGAAUCGCCACAGUGCCCAGAACAGUGUCUAACACAUGCAAUGAACUAUAUAGUGCUAUCUGUGGAAUACCGAGUAGUUUGAACAUAAUCAGCAGAUCUCACCCGACAAGGACAAGGUGAUAUGCCACACUUGGGAAAAGGCUCACUGGGUCAAAGGUCAGAGGCAAAAGUCUCUGCAUUUGAUUCUUCAGCACCACAUAAAACCAGGCCUGGCAAUGCAUGCCUGUCAUCCCAGAGUUCAGAAGAUUGGAGAAGAGGAAAGAAGCUCGAGAUCAUCCUCAGAUAAAUAACCAGGCCAAAGCCAGCCCGAGUCACGUGAGACCCCGAGUCACCAAAAAAUGGGGAGGGCCUUGAGGAACUGGCUUGAUCCUUCCACAUUUAAGCACUCAGCAGCAAGAAGGUGCCAUUGAAGACGUAGGUACCCAGGAGCCAGUGAGAUGGCUCAGUGAGUAAAAGACGGUCGCUGCCAAGCCUGAAGAUCUCAAUUUGACCUCUUGAACCCAUACGGGGGAGGAAGAAAAUUGAAUCUGAAAAUUGUACUUCACACACACACACACACACACACACACACACACACACACACACACCCCAAAUUCAUGUUAAAAAAAGAAAGUAGAGGCCUUUACCAGACCAUGUAUCCUCUAGCCUUUAUCCUGAACUUCCUACCUCCCGAACCCUGUGCAAAAAACUGUGAGUCGUUUAUAAAUCGCCCAGUCUAAGGUAGCACACUGCUGCACCUAGUUAUUUCAUGCCGCUCUUCUUCUGUGUAAAAGUGAGCCUGUAGGGCUGUCACGGGACAAUCAAGACCUUCUGAACUGACUGAAGCUGAGUUGGCCACUCAACUACUGCCCGGUUCCUAGGAUAAAUAUCAGUGGUGCCAGGGGUUAAAAGUAGGUCGGGCACACAUUUGGUGUGUUACAACUUUCAUGUCAGUGUGGUCUCCUGUGAAAGUUCCCUAGCCACAAGGAACCACAACAUCCCACAUCUGCUUCUGGAGGCAUUGGAGCAGGCACGUUCUCUACUUCGGACACUAUAAGUGACAGACAGAAGCAUUACAAAGAGUGUGUGAGGGUUUCACAAGGGCAAGGUAGGGUCCGCCCAUUUCUUCAGGGUCAAGGCUUCACUGAGCAGGAGGAGUACAUGUCAAGGAUGGCCUGUGAGCUUGUUAGAUUGUCAUGCUACCUCAUGUGGGAAGAGUGGAGCGUCAGUCUUUCUAGCCAACCAUGUCUUGAAACAGUCUCAUCUUGGCCAUUUAACAGACGCCAUCCAUCUCUCUAGGGGCUGGACAUCUCUCAGUGGUUAGGACCACUGGGUGCUCUUGUAGAGGACCUAAGUUCAAUUCCCAGCACCCACAUGGCAGCUUACAAACAUCUAUAACUCCAGGACAGGAGAUACAACACCUACUUCUGGCCUCUACGGUCACAGCAUGCGUGUGGUUCACAGACAUAGAUACAGACAACACAUGCCUACACAUGAAAUAAAGCAUUUUACAUCUUAACCUCUCUAACAUGUCUCCUGCUGAUUGAAAACCCUCACAAAGGAGUGUGAUAAAGGUUUUUAAAAUGUUAUAUAUAGCCAUCUUUGGGGCCUUAAUUACCAGUGAGAGAACUUCUAAAGCUAACGAGUCAUCCCGUGGUAUGUAUUAAAGUGUUCUAAACAUAUAGGCAUCAUACUUAGAAACAAAAGCAUUUCAAAUACCGGCAUUUCAAAUACAUAGUCAUGCAGAAUUACAUUCGUUUCGUGGUGAGACAGGAGUUGCAUACGGUGAAAAGCAGAAGUCCCCUUUCAAUGGUAGAGGCAGAGAAACAGGAACUCAAAGAGAAGGUGGGCAGAAAAGAGAGAAAGCACAGAUGCUGCUGGGGCCUGGGAAGUCACUGCAGAUGCCAACGUGUGCUUAAACACAAAGUGGGCUUGUGUUUGUUUUCCUGUUUCGGGCUGUUCCACCAUCACUGGGCUCACAAGAACUAAUUUUAGCCCUCCUCCUGUAACACCCCACUUUAGAUGGGAUCGUUUAUUCUGCUGUCAGCACAAAUGUAAAAAUUAGGAACACACCUGACUGCACCUGUACUUACCCACUGGCAGCCACAAUUAGCGGCGAGCAUCCUCCAAAAAUGGCAAAAGCCGUUAAGCAUGCCUGCAAUUAAGUAAUUGUGGGCAUCAUUAGUUACGUUGUUAGUCGCAUGAGUAACUUUUGUGGUCGCCAUGGCUACCCCCGAUACAAAAUUACCUACCUGACAAGGGAGCACUAGGGAUAAA
rnacentral:sRNA from 1 species